AUCGUGUAUGCGAAAUAAAGGGUCUGUACUUUCAAACCUCUGUGAAGGAUUGCUUCAGAUUUUUGAAGAUUUGAUCUUUGGUUUUGCUACUAAUCAUGUAAAGAUUUGAUCCUUAUUUAUGUAGAUUAAUAAAAAAAUUUUAGAUGCAACCUGGGCUAUCCGGAGAGAAACAGUUUUUCUUUCCUUCAUUUAAUUGUGGAGUGUAAGGAGGUGUCCACUGAAAGCGAAUAUCAUUUUAUUUUAAAUGAUCGAGAAAUUUACUAGCAAGUAUUCUCCUCCUCGAUC
rnacentral:lncRNA from 1 species